rnacentral:lncRNA from 1 species
AGCUACUGGGCCUGCUGCGUGGACCCCAGCUCCUACCUGGUCAAGGUGGGCGUGGGGCUGGAGAGCAAGCUGCAGGAGUGGUUCCAGGUGCCGCAGGACGUGGUGAGCCCCAGGUGAGAUUGGAGGGUGCAGGGUUUGUUCUUACCUGCCCAGCUGGGUGUCAGGGGGCUCCUGGAGGGGACAGCUCUCCACUGGGCUCAGAAUAAACACCUUCAGCAUUGCUGGGGAGUCCCAUGAGCGGCCAAUCCAGCCAGGGGGGCUGCUGGGUGCUAAGGCACCUUCUCAGAUGGGUAUUGGAGCUGGAUCCCCCCACCUGGGUACUGUGCAUGGCAGGUGGAGAGGCCACAGGCAGGGCAGGGCCCUCCUGGGUGGGUGCCCGUCCCUGGAGGUGUGGAGGGAUCUCCAGCCUAUCCCAUGGGAGGACUCACCUGCCCCCCCUGCACAGGUAUGACCCCGACAGUGGCCACGACAGCGGGGCAGAGGACACAACGGUGGAGGCGCCUCCUCCCUACGCCUUCCUCACCAUCGGCAUGGGCAAGAUCCUGCUGUCCCACGGCUCGGCCCUCACGUCCCGCGACCCCAACGGCUGCACCGUGCCCCUGCCCCCGCGCAUUGGCAUCUGCCUGGACUACGAGCAGGGCAAGGUGAGCUUCUACGACGCCGUGUCCUUCCGCGAGCUCUGGGAGUGCGGCGUGGACUGCUCGGGGCCCGUCUGCCCCGCCUUCUGCUUCAUCGGAGGGGGGGCCCUGCACCUGCAGGAGCUGGUGGCCAACAAGCAGGAGAGGAAAGUGACCAUUGGGAACUUUGCCAAGCUGGACUGAGCCAUGCCCGCGGUCCCCACACUCCCCCCGGGCACCCUGUGAGCACCAGGGGGACACAAGUGGCCAGGGAGCAGAGCAGAGCAGAACAGGGGUGNCUUGCUCCAUUUCCAUCUUCUUUGCCCCAUUUCCAUCCCCCUCACGCCCCAUUUCUGUCCCACUCCUUGCUCCAUUUCUAUUCCCUUCCUUGCCCCAUUUCUGCCCUCUCUCACCCCAUUUCCAUCCCCUCACGCCCCAUUUCUGUCCCACUCCUUGCUCCAUUUCUGCCCUCUCUCUCCCCAUUUCCAUCUCCUCUUGUCCUGUUUCCAUUUUCUUGCUUGCCCCAUUUCUGUCUCCUCUCACCCUGUUUCCGUCCCCUUCCUCACUCCAUUUCUGUUCAACUGUCACCCCACUUCUGUCCACAUGCUCACCUCACUUCUGUCCCAUUCAUCAUCCAAUUUUCUGCUCCCUCCUCAUCCCAUUUCCACUCUCCCUUGCCCCAUUUCAACCCCAUCCUUGCCCUUUUUCCAUUUUCUUCUCAUCCUGUUUCCAUUCCCCCACUCUCCAUUUCCACCCCAGUCUCACCCCAUUUCCACCCCAGUCUCACCCUAUUUCCAUCCUCUUCCUUACUCCAUUUUCAUUCUCUCCUUGCUCCAUUUCCACCCCUCUCCUUGUUCGAUUUUCUUCCCUCUCUUGUCCCAUUUCCAUUCCCUUUCUUGACUCAUAUUUGUCUCCCCUUCACCCCAUUUAUGUCCAGAUUCCUCUCCCAUUUAUUUUCCCAUCUGCCCCCUAUUUCUUUCCCACUUUCACCCCAUUUCCCUUCUCUUCCUUGUUCUAUUUCCACCCCUCUCCUUAUCCCAUUUCUUUCUCCCCUCGCCCCAUUCCCAUCUGCCUCUUCACCCCAAUUCCAUCCUGCUCACCCCAUUUCUUUUCCUUUCUGCAUCCCUUUCCCACCUUGUCCUUGCCCCAUUGUUGCCCCAUUUCCAUUCUCCUUCUCUCUUUAUUUCCAUCCUACUCUCACCCCAUUUCUGCCCUCUUCCUCUCCCAUUUCCAUCCCUCUCCUUGCCCCAUUUCUACCUCCCUCCUCAUGCUGUUUCCUUUCUCUUCCUUGUGCCAUUCCCUUCCUUUCCUUACCCCUCUCCCACCUGCCACCCUUCAUCUCCCCUCCCCGCCCUGCCUCUGUUCCUGCCAGUACCUUCUACCACCCUCCAUCCCCAUCUCCUCCUCCUCCUCCUCCUCCUCUCCUGCUGCCUCCACUCUCUCUCUCUUUCUCUCUCUCUCCUCCCUCCUGACUUGCACUCGGCCUGUCUGGUCCCUGGAGCCCCACAGCAGCAGCUCCUCUGUCUCCCCGACUCUCGCUCUCCUCCGGUGCCGACACACGGUCCUCCGCAGUCAGACCCCUUUAGACUCCGCUGGUUGUGCGUCCNNNNNNNNNNNNNNNNNNNNNNNNNNNNNNNNNNNNNNNNNNNNNNNNNNNNNNNN